rnacentral:rRNA from 1 species
AUUGAACGCUGGCGGCAGGCCUAACACAUGCAAGUCGAACGAGUGGCGGACGGGUGAGUAAUGUCUGGGAAACUUCCCGAUGGAGGGGGAUAACUACUGGAAACGGUAGCUAAUACCGCAUACCAUCGGAUGUGCCCCGAUGGGAUGAGCGUGUAGGUGAGGUAACGGCUCACCUAGGCGCCGAUCCCUAGCUGGUCUGAGAGGAUGACCAGCCAAACUGGAACUGAGACACGGUCCAGACUCCUACGGGAGGCAGCAGUGGGGAAUAUUGCACAAUGGGCGCAAGCCUGAUGCAGCAAUGCCGCGUGUAUGAAGAAGGCCUUCGGGUUGUAAAGUACUUUCAGCGGGGAGGCGUUACCCGCAGAAGAAGCACCGGCUAACUCCGUGCCAGCAGCCGCGGUAAUAC